rnacentral:lncRNA from 1 species
UGCAGAGCCCCAGACAGGCACAUGCAGGUCUCACGGCAAACUGGUCUGUGCAUGCAGGGAAGAGCAGAGAUCCCGUGACUGGGGUCCUGAGCUGAUCUGGGGUUGGGAGGGAGGUGGGUGGAAGGAGGCAGGAUCUGAACCAAAAGCUGCAGGGUAAACAGGAAUUGGCCACAAAGAAUGGGGUGGGGAAGGUGGGGCCAGAUGUGUCGGAGCAUGGGCCAAGGCCCCAGUCUGGAAAGGACCCACCUCUGAUGGCUGGUUAGUCAGCGGGCACAGGCCUGCAGGCAUGGAGAUGAAUUUGCAGAGGUGAGCAGGCACAGCACAGGCAGCCUGGAUUUUGCAGUAACCGACAUCAGAAGGCUGGCAAAAGGCUCCAAGGAAGCUGCGUGACCACAGUGUUGGAAAAUGGAAUCAGGCUACACGUGCUCUUGUGGGAAUCCCACGGCAGCGUCCCCAUGAGGAGGCAGGGGCCCACCAUCACCGGCUGCACCUCUGACCUUCGAUGACCUUGGGGGCCAGGUGUCACGGUCACCCUGCACACGUGGGUUCCCUCAGCUGCUCUCAGGAACAAGAGAAUGAACCUGUCACCUCCUCUCCCGCUUGAAGGACAGCACCAUUUAUUGUUUACUGUGGGCUGAGACAGCUGGGGAUUCCUCACUGCGAUGGAGCCGACAUGCAAUAUUGAGGCAAAGAUGGCAGGGAGGUGGGGGGCAGCGCAGAGGAGAAGAGGAGAGAGCCCUCCCACAGCAGGCCUCCCUCUGGGCAGGCUGAGCUUUGCCACUAGCAAGCCCCGCCGGUGCCGGGGAAGGGGAGAAGACACAGGACCUGGAGGGAGGCCUUGGUGAAUUGAGCCUUGGCUUUGCUGGGUGACCCAGGCUUGGUCCCUGGAUGCCUCUGAGCUGUUGCUGGAACGUGACCUCCCACCUCCCACGAUAGAAGAAAAGUGGUCUGGACAAAGGAGGCUGCAAUGGACUGAAUGUUGUAUUCCUCCCCAGUUCACAGGCUGAACCCCUAAUCCCAAGGUGAUGGGAUUUGGAGGCAGGACCUUUGGGAGGAAUUAGGUCAUGAGGGUGGAGCCCUUGUGAUGAGAUUAGUGCCCUGGUAAGAAGAGGCCAGAGAGCUGGCUAGCUCUUUUUCUGCCACGUGAAGAUAACGAGAAGGCAGCCACCUGUAAACUAGGAAGACAGCCCUCACCAGAACCUGACCUUGCUGGAACCUUGAUGUUGGACUUUCAAACCCCAGAGCUAUGAGAAAUAAAUGUCUGUUGUUUAAGUCACCCAGUUUGGAGUGUUUCGUGAGAGCCAUCCGAGCUGACGGAGGCAGAGCGUGCACUCUGGUUUUCCCUGAAGACAGAGGCA